CGGGUAUGAACGAUUUAUCGUUCUAAGUGAGUGACGUCACACUGCCAAGAAAAGCUUCUAGUUAGAAUCAGACCGCCCGUACCGCAAACCGACACAGGUAGUCGGGUCGAGAAGACCAAGGUGAGCGAGAGAACUCUCGUUAAGGAACUCGGCAAAAUGACCCCGUAACUUCGGGAGAAGGGGUGCUGAUCGCAAGAUCAGCCGCAGUGAAUAGGCCCAGGCGACUGUUUAUCAAAAACACAGGUUUCUGCAAAAUCGUAAGAUGAAGUAUAGGGGCUGACGCCUGCCCGGUGCUGGAAGGUUAAGAGGAUGGGUUAGCGCAAGCGAAGCUCAGAAUUGAAGCCCCAGUAAACGGCGGCCGUAACGAUAACGGUCCUAAGGUAGCGAAAUUCCUUGUCGGGUAAGUUCCGACCCGCACGAAAGGCGUAACGAUCUGGGCACUGUCUCAACGAGAGACUCGGUGAAAUUAUAAUACCCGUGAAGAUGCGGGUUACCCGCGACAGGACGGAAAGACCCCAUGGAGCUUUACUGUAGCUUGAUAUUGGGUGUUUGUACAACUUGUACAGGAUAGGUAGGAGCCGUAGAAGUCGGGGCGCUAGUUUCGACGGAGGCAUCGGUGGGAUACUACCCUCGUUGUAUGAACACUCUAACCCACGCCGGCAAUCACGGCGGGAGACAGUGUCAGGUGGGCAGUUUGACUGGGGCGGUCGCCUCCUAAAAGGUAACGGAGGCGCCCAAAGGUUCCCUCAGAAUGGUUGGAAAUCAUUCGCAGAGUGUAAAGGCAUAAGGGAGCUUGACUGCGAGACCUACAAGUCGAGCAGGGACGAAAGUCGGGCUUAGUGAUCCGGUGGUUCCGCAUGGAAGGGCCAUCGCUCAACGGAUAAAAGCUACCCUGGGGAUAACAGGCUUAUCUCCCCCAAGAGUCCACAUCGACGGGGAGGUUUGGCACCUCGAUGUCGGCUCAUCGCAUCCUGGGGCUGUAGUCGGUCCCAAGGGUUGGGCUGUUCGCCCAUUAAAGCGGUACGCGAGCUGGGUUCAGAACGUCGUGAGACAGUUCGGUCCCUAUCCGUCGCGGGCGCAGGAAAUUUGAGAGGAUCUGUCCUUAGUACGAGAGGACCGGGAUGGACAUACCGCUGGUGUACCAGUUGUUCUGCCAAGGGCAUCGCUGGGUAGCUAUGUAUGGAUGAGAUAAACGCUGAAAGCAUCCAAGUGCGAAACUCACCUCGAGAUAAGAUUUCCCACUCC
rnacentral:rRNA from 1 species